rnacentral:rRNA from 1 species
CCUACGGGUGGCUGCAGUGAGGAAUAUUGGUCAAUGGGCGCGAGCCUGAACCAGCCAAUUAGCGUGAAGGAUGACUGCCCUACGGGUUGUAAACUUCUUUUAUAAAAGAGUCAAGUGAGGCACGUGUGCCUUUUUGUAUGUACUUUAUGAAUAAUGAUCGGCUAACUCCGUUCCAGCAGCCGCGGUAAUACAGAGGAUACGAGCGUUAUCCGGAUUUAUUGGGUUUAAAGGGAGCGUAGAUGGGUUGUUAAGUCAGUUGUGAAAGUUUGCGGCUCAACCGGAAAAUUGCAAUUGAUACUGGCAGGCUUGAGUACAGUAGAGGUAGGCGGAAUUCGUGGUGUAGCGGUGAAAUGCUUAGAUAUCACGAAGAACUCCGAUUGCGAAGGCAGCUUACUAAACUGCCACUGACAUUGAUGCUCGAAAGUGUGGGUAGCAAACAGGAUGAGAUACCCCUGUAGUC